rnacentral:rRNA from 1 species
AGUGAACGCUGGCGGUAGGCCUAACACAUGCAAGUCGAACGGCAGCACAGUAAGAGCUUGCUCUUACGGGUGGCGCGUGGCGGACGGGUGAGGAAUACAUCGGAAUCUACUUUUUCGUGGGGGAUAACGUAGGGAAACUUACGCUAAUACCGCAUACGACCUACGGGUGAAAGCAGGGGAUCUUCGGACCUUGCGCGAUUGAAUGAGCCGAUGUCGGAUUAGCUAGUUGGCGGGGUAAAGGCCCACCAAGGCGACGAUCCGUAGCUGGUCUGAGAGGAUGAUAGCCACACUGGAACUGAGACACGGUCCAGACUCCUACGGGAGGCAGCAGUGGGGAAUAUUGGACAAUGGGCGCAAGCCUGAUCCAGCCAUACCGCGUGGGUGAAGAAGGCCUUCGGGUUGUAAAGCCCUUUUGUUGGGAAAGAAAAGCAGCAGGUUAAUACCCCGCUGUUCUGACGGUACCCAAAGAAUAAGCACCGGCUAACUUCGUG